rfam:Gossypium hirsutum cultivar TM-1 chromosome 20, whole genome shotgun sequence
AAUCUGUGGUGUGAACAUUUUUAAAUCAACAUUUUCAACCGUUCCUAUGCCUCAUAAAUCUUUCUCCCUCCAUCAGUCUAAAAAUGAAAAUCUCUCUUCUUAGUUG